rnacentral:rRNA from 1 species
GUCCACGGCCAUACUACCCUGAACACGCCUGAUCUCGUCUGAUUUCAGAAGCUAAGCAGGGUCACGUCUGGUUAGUACUUGGAUGGGAGACUGCCAUAGUUUCACCUUUACCUCUGAAA